CCUACGGGCGGCUGCAGUGGGGAAUAUUGGACAAUGGGGGGAACCCUGAUCCAGCCAUGCCGCGUGUGUGAAGAAGGCCCUCGGGUUGUAAAGCACUUUCAGUGAGGAAGAACGCCUGGUGGUUAAUACCCAUCAGGAAAGACAUCACUCACAGAAGAAGCACCGGCUGAACUCCGUGCCAGCAGCCGCGGUAAUACGGAGGGUGCGAGCGUUAAUCGGAAUUACUUGGCGUAAAGCGCGCGUAGGUGGCUUGAUAAGCCGGUUGUGAAAGCCCCGGGCUCAACCUGGGAACGGCAUCCGGAACUGUCAAGCUAGAGUGCAGGAGAGGAAGGUAGAAUUCCCGGUGUAGCGGUGAAAUGCGUAGAGAUCGGGAGGAAUACCAGUGGCGAAGGCGGCCUUCUGGACUGACACUGACACUGAGGUGCGAAAGCGUGGGUAGCAAACAGGAUUAGAUACCCUGGUAGUC
rnacentral:rRNA from 1 species